rnacentral:tRNA from 1 species
AAAACCAAUAAUUAAUACUUUGAAAGUGUUAUUUAGGCUUUACCAGCCUUUGGUUUUU